rnacentral:rRNA from 1 species
AUUGAACGCUGGCGGCAGGCCUAACACAUGCAAGUCGAGCGGAGCGGCGGACGGGUGGGUAAUGCCUAGGUAUCUGCACGUUAGUAGGGGAUAAAGUCCGGAAACGGGCGCUAAUACCGCAUACUAUCAGAUGACUCUAGGUCGGAUUAGCUAGUUGGUGGGGUAAAGGCUUACCAAGGCGACGAUCCGUAACUGGUCUGAGAGGAUGAUCAGUCACACUGGAACUGAGACACGGUCCAGACUCCUACGGGAGGCAGCAGUGGGGAAUAUUGGACAAUGGGCGAAAGCCUGAUCCAGCCAUGCCGCGUGUGUGAAGAAGGUCUUCGGAUUGUAAAGCACUUUAAGUUGGGAGGCGUUACCAACAGAGUAAGCACCGGCUAACUUCGUGCCAGCAGCCGCGGUAAUAC